CGCUAAUGCUAAUCAAUGCUAGCCCAAUGCUGCUUGUAGCCUGAAGCCCAACAAAGAAACAAACUUGAGAUACUUUACAAUGCACUGUACAAUGUACUGUACAAUGUACGUACUUUACAUCAGUUCGACACAAGUGCGUCAGCCGAGUCCUCCUAACUCCGAUGGAUUGCAGCAGGUAGAGACAGGAGUGUGUGUGGACUCUGACCCCCUCUAUUGGCACCUCGGGGUGGUCAAUAGACACAGAGGAUAUAUGAAGUGGGCCGCAGGAAGGAUCAGUCUGCCAGGUCCUAAAGAAAGAAUAGCGGAGGUACUCCCGGGACGAGCAGGACCCCAGACCGUGACCCUGUCCCUGGAGGAAGUAGCGAUAGACCUCAGCAUCUUUAUCCAAGAAGGAUCUGAGUGCUCAUCUGCAGCUUCUGCCUCCUGUCCUCCAGCUCGUCCUCACAUCUACUAGAACCGGGCGACUCUGAUCCCACCACCUCCUUCAGAAGAUCAUCGGUCUGGCCUGCAGAGCUCAAGGGUCCAAUUCUGGAAGACAUGAGUAGGCAUUACCUGAAAAAGUCUCUGGGCUUCUGUGAUCAUGUUGGCGAGUCCCUGGGUGGCAGCCAAGUUCUCGCUUAGAUCACGCUGGUCCGGGCGGCCUAGGCUGUGCUUCCUGUGACCCGAUCUGCAUCAAAAUCAGGCGUUGAGGUGGAAUAGCGACGGCGCCAGGCACACGGCGAUGUUUGUGGGGGUCAUCUGGUUCUCCUCCACGCAGGCCACCACGUCUCGCAGGAAGAAGAGCAUCGUUCGUAGCGCCUCCCGAUUCUCAUCGGGCAGCAGCAAGAUAGCCGCCUGGGACGCGACCAGCUGUUGAUCUUUGGGGAAAUCUGCAGACUUCCUGGUCCCCGACUGACUCUUCCAGUUCCACCAUGAGGACACUAAGGCGUUCCCAGGGUCUGCCCCGGGGGCCUUCUCCCGGCUGGGCAUGCCCAGAACACCUCACGAGGGAGGCGUCCAGGUGGCAUCCGGACUAGAUGCCCCAGGGAGCAGCGGUUCUCCCGGAUGACUGAACUCCUCCCCCUAUCUCUUAGGGAGGUUCGCAAGUGUGCUGGAGCCUAUUCUAGCUGUCUUUGGGCCACAGGCAGGGUACACCCUGGACUGGUGGCCAGCCAAUCACAGGGCACAUAUAGACAAACAACCAUUCACACUCACAUUCAUACCUAUGGACAAUUUGGAGUCACCAAUUAACCUAGCAUGUUUUUGGAAUGUGGGAGGAAACCGGAGUACCCGGAGAAAACCCACGCAUGCACGGGGAGAACAUGCAAACUCCAAACUGAGAUGGCCGAGGGUGGACUUGAACUCAGGUCUCCUAAUUAUGAGGUCUGCGUGCUAACCACUCGACCGCCGUGCAGCCUCAGCCAUUUGUAUCUGUGAUUUAGUUCUUUCAGUCACGAUCAGAAGUGCAAAAUGUAUGAAAAUAUUUUCCUUUAAAAUUCCCAUUUGAUUGUAGACUACAAAUGACGUGCGUCACACUCACAUUGGUAAAUAUGGAGGAAGGACUCGCACAGCCUGAAGGUGAAGAUGGGCUCAGGCAGGUCUCUGAAGUACUGCUUCACCAUGUCGGCCACGUCGAAAGCUGACUGUCCGUCAUAGGAAACGCCAUCCGGGUUGGACUCCAGCAUCUCGCGGAGGUGCUGGAUCCGAGACUUCAACCCUGACUUCCGGAAAAGACCCACCUGAAAUCAAACUUUGAGUUAAUUUGGUUUCUGUUUGGUAUAACUUGACAUUUUUCAUGAAGGUCACCUGAUCCAAACACUGUGUUCUCAGGUAAACAAGCGCCCUGAGAAUACUGGGAGGGAGGGGCUCUCCUGUCUGCUGUGCAUUGACAAGCAAAGGAACACCAAAAACCCGCCGCUCUUUCGCCUGCGCCUCCUUAGUCUUCCUCUGUGAUUUGGGAACAGUCCUGUAGACCACACAGAUGUUCAUGAGAUCCUAUUUUUUAGGAGGCCAUCAAACAGCUUGGACCGGUGCAGCGGAAACUACUCAACAUGGCUGCAUCUGUCUUCUUUGAAGAAGGAGCCAAAUCACCAUUUUUUUUUUUUGUCUCCAGUGUGUGCCGCCUGGAAAAGCAUGACACCAGGAAAUGAUGGAAAGGCAUCAAAGAAAAGACUUUGGGACAUUUCAGUAUUUUUUUAUUUUUUUUUGGUAAUCACUAAUGAAUCUCUUGCUAGGCGCGUCAUCCUGUUUCACGGGAGCUUUCCAGCUCUCUCACCCGCCUUUUCCAUGAAUCCUCUCGGAUGUAAAGAGGCAAAAUCAGCUGUAUUCCUAAUGAUUUCCUUUUUAGCAUUUUUUGGCUUCAAUGAAGGGAGCAGUUAUUUUCUCAACAACAGACCACGUGGUUUGUAGAAAACUUCCUAAAGUGCACUUUUAGGUCACCAAGCGCAUUCAAUCACUCGCUAGUCGAACUGGAUCAAAAGUAGCGUGGAAAAAAAAAAGACACGGAAGUCAAAGUCAUGACUCAAAAAUAAGGAUUAAAAGAAAACAUUUUCUGCCAAGAAAACUUUGCCUGGCACCGCGUUGAGUGUUGGGGAGUUCAAGAGGGCUAAUUUUACAACUUUUAUUUACUAUUCUACGUCUCCGGGGGAAAGCUUUUCCCAAAGUUAAGAAACAUGCUGCUACUUACAGUAAUUUUACUGCAGGGGCCGGGUCGCACCUGAUCCAUGAAUAAUUGAUAAAUAUUGAAAAUAGGGGUAAUGGUAAUGGUUUUAUUUCAUUUGAACAUGCAUCAGAUUACAAUUGAAUGCAUCACAUAAUCAGUUCACAGUUCCACAUGUCCAAAAGGAGUAGGAAGAAGCAAAGCUUAUUAAAUCCUACCCCUCCAUCUGGUACUUUUACGAUCAGUAACUGUUGCAUUUGUUCCUGCUUUCCUAAUAUAGUUUAAAUUGUUUUUUUUUGUUUUUUUUAUUUUAUUUUUGUCACGUACCGAAGUAGGAGGUGAUAUGACCAUAUAAUGACAUAAUGGGUACCAUAGUAAGUGUCAAUAUAGUGAUAUAUAUAGCACAUCAUGACUGGUUCAAGACUCUUCAUCCUUGUAUUUAGCAAACAUCAACUGCUUGUAUUGUUUCUUGAAUUGGUUCAUCGUUGUGCAUUGUUUGAGGUCCUUACUCAAUCCAUCCCAUAGUUUGAUUCCACAUACUGAAAUGCUAUGGCUUUUUAACGUAGUCCUUGCAUAUAAGUGUUUCAAAUGUACUUCUUCCCUGAGAUCAUAUUUCUCCUCUCUUGUAGAGAAGUAUUAGAUGACAUUUUUAGCUAAUUGGUUAUUUUUAGCCUUAUGAAAAAAAAUAUGUUAAGGUUGCCUAACAUAUUUAUCCUUUGCCCAGUCCCAACAAAACUCUCAAUUUAACCUCUUCUUUAUUUUCAAGCUGACUUCCUCGUCUUACCAAUUCCAGCCUUGCUUGCUGGAUGGGGAGUAUUUGUCCAUUAGGGUGGUGAGUUUGAGCAAGGCGAGCUUCUGCAGCAGAAGAAACUGGGAGACGGACUGGUUCUCCACGCCUGGACUGGUUGGCAGGGCGGGUAGGCUUUGCUCACUGGACCAGUGCAGCUGCUGGCUGACUCUGCUAGAAAAGUCAUCGAGAAAAGCAAGCGAUUGUUUACGCUCUCCUCCUCAUCCUCCGAAUGCUGCACCUCCAGAUGGAUGUGAGUAGGUGAGGAGGCUGAAGAGCAAUGUGCCAGUGAAUCGUGGGAGCAGGAGGAAGUAGAAGAAGAAGAAGAGGAGGCGGAAGUGGAAUCUUGCUGAGAGUCAUCUUCAGAUAGAUUUUCAGUCCAGGUGGAGACAAGUUGUUGGAGGUCGUUGAUCCUUUCCAAAACCGUGUCCAGAGCGGAGAAUACAUCCUCGCCUACUAACAGUCGAGUUACCUACGAGAGCCAAACAACGGGGACAUUUGGUGGUCAUCUGGAACGUUAUCGUAGAUACUCAGCCGUAUGCCGGCGUCGCAGGGAGAGGGCGAGGACGUGGCGGGCGACGCCAUGCCCCGACGGAAACUGCGGCGGCUCUGGUAACCGUGGAAACUACCAGUCCUCCAGUUGAUGGAGGUUUCAUCGAUGAUGGGGGACAGGAGGUUGUGUUUGUGUGCAAGAGAAGUAGGGAAAGUUCCCGGUUUGUGUCCAUGGGGGAUGUGGAAGAGCAGGCUCUCAUGGCUGAUGUUGUUGUUGAUCUGGUCCUUGUAGUCCUGAGAGAAAGACAAUUGAUGGCAGACGAUUGGACACAGAAGGGGAAAUAACAUGAAAUGACAAAGGACUGAGAAGUGAUCCUUGAUGGAUACCACGCAUAAUAAGCAUUCAUUCAUUCAUUCAUUUUCUACCGCUUUUUUCC